UAUGCCGCAAUAUGCACACGCGACUUAUGUGUUCUUAUCAGCUUAUUAUCUGAUACGAGUCCUAUUUCGACUCAAGAUAAUAAACUAAUUUUUGCCAGUUGGCGCCGCGAAGGCGCUUGCUCCUCCGGCGCCCCGGGUUGUCCCGGCGUUGCACUGCUGCCGGGUUCGGCUCCACGACC
rnacentral:snRNA from 1 species